AGUAGCAAAAGAGGCUCAUCGACUAAACCCUAUUUGUCACUCCACCAAAAAAUCUUCCCCCAUCGCAUCGCCACAUCGUCUCAUCUUCAUUCUUCCCCAUUCUUCAACCCAAUUGCUCACUGCUCAAUGCUUAACCCUAUUUGUCUUCUUCAACCUCCAAUUUCUCAUUCCCUUUUCGUCAGGUUGAACUUGAAGGCUUGAAGCCAAGUCGGAGUCAUCCUCAAUGGUAACCCUCGGCCCUCAGGUAGCAACCUUAGCAUUAUUGCAAAGAGUUGGUUGAAGGCUUGAAGUAAGCUCCAAUUGCUCAUUCCCUCCAACCGUAGCCUCGGCCCUAAGAUUAUGGAAGCUCUAAUUUGCUUGAGAGAUUGGAUGCCAUCAUUUAAAUCUGGUUUUGGGGUCAUGUUGGCAUUAUCAUUAAAUUGUCAUACUCUUUUGGGCGAGAAGAAGAUUUAGUUGGAUUCAACUGUUAUGGAUUUGUAUAGUUGUUGGAGGAACUGAGUGUUUAUUUUUCUUUAGACAAAUCAUCUCUCUAUGUCUUAUGUCUCCUCAACGUUUGAACCAAAAACAGAUUUGGACUAGGCUCUUAUGGGUUAUUUUUUUCUUCUCAAGAUCAAACUCUUAUAUCAAAUUAAGCACUUUAAUAUUAUGAGGACAAAUGCAACUUUGUAGAAAUAAGAAACAAUUGAGACUUUAUUGUUUUUAUAAGGAUUGGAUGCAGCAGAUGGAUCUACUUUCUCAA